rnacentral:rRNA from 1 species
UACGGGGGGGGCAAGCGUUGUUCGGAAUUACUGGGCGUAAAGGGCUCGUAGGUGGCCAACUAAGUCAGAUGUGAAAUCCCCAGGCUCAACUUGGGAACUGCGUCUGAUACUGGAUGGCUUGAAUUCGGGAGAGGGAUGCAGAAUUCCAGGUGUAGCGGUGAAAUGCGUAGAUAUCUGGAGGAAUACCGGUGGCGAAGGCGGCAUCCUGGACCGAGAUUGACACUGAUGAGCGAAAGCUAGGGGAGCAAACAGG